GUACUGCUGAAGAGUCCCAAACUAGGACGGUUGAAACAGCUGUCCAGUAC
rfam:Trichobilharzia regenti genome assembly, scaffold: TRE_scaffold0057298